GCAAAUACAUUGAAGGGAAGAGUAAGUACAGAGGUAGUUAUAGCGAGUUGAUGACGGUGGAAGAUCAACAUGAGGGCUGUACCGAAGAACAUCCCAGAGUAUCUAACCGAAAUCUUUUUGAGAGUAGGCUUAGACGGAGCCAUACCGUUAUAGAGUGGACAGUAUCGAAUAUUUUAUAUUCCGUACUGAUAGAGUGAGCCUUAUGCUAAUUUGGGUGGUACCGCGGAAACAAACCUUUCGUCCCUUGG
rnacentral:ncRNA from 1 species